rnacentral:rRNA from 1 species
UACGUAGGGGGCAAGCGUUGUCCGGAAUUAUUGGGCGUAAAGAGCGUGUAGGCGGUCCGGUAAGUCAGCUGUGAAAGUCAAGGGCUCAACCCUUGAAUGCCGGUUGAUACUGUCGAGCUAGAGUCCGGAAGAGGCGAGUGGAAUUCCCGGUGUAGCGGUGAAAUGCGCAGAUAUCGGGAGGAACACCAAUGGCGAAGGCAGCUCGCUGGGACGGUACUGAC